GUAACAAGGUCUCCGUUGGUGAACCAGCGGAGGGAUCAUUACCGAGUUUACAACUCCCAAACCCCUGUGAACAUACCUAUACGUUGCCUCGGCGGAUCAGCCCGCGCCCCGUAAAACGGGACGGCCCGCCCGAGGACCCCUAAACUCUGUUUUUAGUGGAACUUCUGAGUAAAACAAACAAAUAAAUCAAAACUUUCAACAACGGAUCUCUUGGUUCUGGCAUCGAUGAAGAACGCAGCAAAAUGCGAUAAGUAAUGUGAAUUGCAGAAUUCAGUGAAUCAUCGAAUCUUUGAACGCACAUUGCGCCCGCCAGUAUUCUGGCGGGCAUGCCUGUUCGAGCGUCAUUUCAACCCUCAAGCUCAGCUUGGUGUUGGGACUCGCGGUAACCCGCGUUCCCCAAAUCGAUUGGCGGUCACGUCGAGCUUCCAUAGCGUAGUAAUCAUACACCUCGUUACUGGUAAUCGUCGCGGCCACGCCGUUAAACCCCAACUUCUGAAUGUUGACCUCGGAU
rnacentral:rRNA from 1 species